rnacentral:lncRNA from 1 species
GGUGUGGAAUCCACAAAUCCACAAGUUGUGGUGCAGUGUGGCGUGGCUUCGGCUGGCGUGGCCAGCCAUAUGCAUUUUGUUAGUUUUUUUAAACUAUUUAAAUUUUUUAAAUAAAGUAGCCGUUUGGCAACGACUAGCCCUAACGGCUACAUCAAACCAACCAAUCAUAGCCAGCCAAGUCACAACCCCCCCCCCCCCGCGCCCCACGCCAGGCUCAAUCCCCACGCCAGCGAGGCAACGCCAUGGCCAACGCUAGCCUGGUGUGGUCUAGCCAGCGUUUUGUGCAAUCCACCACCCAACCCACGCACCACACCCCGCAGCCUAACACAACACAAUGUUAGGAGUGUGUAUUAAUAACAGCUAGCAAACAGUACAUUUCAAGAAAAUCAAUGAUAACAUUAUCCAUGAAUCCAUUGUUUUGAGUGUAGAUCUAUGCACGUUCGCUACAUAAUCAUUUAACAUUUAAUCAUUAUAAAAAUCAUUUAACAGAAUCAUUAAAAAAGAAAUCAGUCACUAAAAAACAUUUUGAAGAAUGUAAACAAUAACUCACCAUCAUGUGAAAUAGAUGUCAUUUUGGUAAAAGCAUUUCAUCGAGCAGUUGGUGUGCAUCUUCAAAGCUAAUAUAUUCGCAUAUGUGAACAUAUUACAACAGACUAAAGCAUGUACAUAUUGCAUAUAUGUAUGUACAUAUGCAUACAACAAACUAUAACAUACACACACAACAUCAAAUAUAUACAUAUAACUGACCCUAAUACAUAUAAAUAUACUUAAAAAAACAAAUAUAAUAAAAACAACAAAAAAUUAAAUCAAAAGCAAAACCUAAUACGAUAUGUGAGAGACGGUUUGAUUCUACCAUAAUCAUAUUCUCGCCAUAAUAUUGGCUAAAGUAGCGCCAGACGAAUCGAGCAACGAAACUGGAACGUAUGGUGGUGCGGUAGGUGUUCUUCUGCGGUAGUGGUUAGCGGCAACAGAUGGAACGAGAGAGUUAGAGAAAGAUGGGUGGGAAUGGUAAUUGGGGGGCGGGAAACACUAGAGGGUUCCAUUUUGAUGAAAUUUUCAAUUUUUUUUAA